AGAGUCAGAUACGACUGAGCAGUCGAGCGCACACACACAUCAAAGCUCAGUGAAAACCUUUGAUUACAGUGCGGUCCAUGGGCAACAGUUCCAGUGAAAAGAAGGACUAUCCUACAGCUAUUUGGGGGACAGGCCAUGAAUCUCUAGGGGGACCCCAGGAGUUUACCUGUUUUCUGGGGCUUGAAGACAAAAGCUUCAGAUUUUGAUGAUGAACCGAGGCAGCUCCUUUGGGCUGGUGUGGGGUCUGUCCUGCUGUGCCCCCACCGCCGCAGCUACCCCUCCCCCCAGCCAUAGUCAGAGGAGUCAAGAACAAAAAAUGCUCACCAGGCCACCCUAGUACCCCGCAGGAGCAGCUGGGAGUCACACACACACUGCUCCCCUGCGCUGUCAACCACCCUGCCCAGCUCCCUUGCACACACACCCAGCAUGGGGCUCUCUCUUCUGCAUUGCACAUCUUCUGAAAGGAGGGCCCCUUUCUGAGACUGUAUCACUUCAUUUCACACCCUAAACAAUUAGACAUGAUUUCCCCAAAUGUAAGAGCAGUCAGGAGACCCUAUCCAGAUUAAUCGGCUCUAAGCGGUUAAGGCAGGAAGAGAAGCGAGGAGGGAGAGGGGUGGGGGAAAGGAAAGCAGAGACUCCAAAGUCUUUGUUUCUCUCCCAUCUGGCUGGAAGCCAGAGGCGAAGAUCGAAGAGACCUAUCCUUUGUCCACUGAUCUGACAGUCAGUUCCCACACGGCAAAAUCAAAGUGGAAUGCAUUCACACACUCGUGGCCACAGCUCACAAGGUUACUGAGAAAUCUAAGUCUUCUGUGACUGGUGGAGGCAGGAUUUCUAUGCAGCAUUGCUGUUUUCAAGGUCAUAAUGAAAUUAAGAAAGAGUUCC
rnacentral:lncRNA from 1 species